rfam:Schistosoma rodhaini strain Burundi genome assembly, scaffold: SROB_scaffold0000364
AGUGAGCUGAGGAGUCCCACAAUAAGACGAAACGGCCGUCCAGU